rnacentral:miRNA from 1 species
UCUCAGAUGAAAUAGCCAAUAUAGAUGAUAAUUCUGUGUGUGUGUGUGUGUGUGUGUGUGUGUGUGUAUAUAUAUAUAUAUAAAAUAUGACAUGAAUCUAUG